AAUGUUGAAAAAUUAGCGGAUGACCUGUGGCUGGGGGUGAAAGGCCAAUCAAACCGGGAGAUAGCUGGUUCUCCCCGAAAGCUAUUUAGGUAGCGCCUCGUGAACUCAUCUCCGGGGGUAGAGCACUGUUUCGGCUAGGGGGCCAUCCCGGCUUACCAACCCGAUGCAAACUGCGAAUACCGGAGAAUGUUAUCACGGGAGACACACGGCGGGUGCUAACGUCCGUCGUGAAGAGGGAAACAACCCAGACCGCCAGCUAAGGUCCCAAAGUCAUGGUUAAGUGGGAAACGAUGUGGGAAGGCCCAGACAGCCAGGAUGUUGGCUUAGAAGCAGCCAUCAUUUAAAGAAAGCGUAAUAGCUCACUGGUCGAGUCGGCCUGCGCGGAAGAUGUAACGGGGCUAAACCAU
rnacentral:rRNA from 1 species